UACGUAGGCAGCAAGCGUUGUUCGGAGUUACUGGGCGUAAAGAGUGCGUAGGCGGUCCUUUAAGUUUGGUGUGAAAUCUCCCGGCUCAACUGGGAGGGUGCGCCGAAAACUGGAGGGCUUGAGUGUGGGAGAGGCAAGCGGAAUUCCUGGUGUAGCGGUGAAAUGCGUAGAUAUCAGGAGGAACACCGGUGGCGAAGGCGGGUCUCUGGGCCGAAACUGACGCUGAGGAGCGAAAGCGUGGGGAGCAAACAGG
rnacentral:rRNA from 1 species